rnacentral:rRNA from 1 species
CUGGCGGCGUGCCUAACACAUGCAAGUCGAACGUGAAAAGGGAAACCUGAGUAAAGUGGCGUACGGGUGAGUAACGCGUAGGUAAUCUACCCCAGAAUCUGGAAUAACCUGCCGAAAGGCGGGCUAAUACUGGAUAGAGCGAGGGAACUCGUAAGAGAGUUUUUCGGGAAAGGGAGCCCGCAAGGGCCUUCGUUCUGGGAUGAGCCUGCGUCUCAUUAGCUAGUUGGUAAGGUAACGGCUUACCAAGGCGAUGAUGAGUAGCUGGUCUGAGAGGAUGAUCAGCCACACUGGAACUGAAACACGGUCCAGACUCCUACGGGAGGCAGCAGUGGGGAAUCUUGCGCAAUGGACGAAAGUCUGACGCAGCCACGCCGCGUGAGUGAAGAAGGCCUUCGGGUUGUAAAGCUCUGUCGGAUGGGACGAACAUCUUCAUAGUGAAUAGCUAGGAGGACUGACGGUACCAUCAAAGGAAGCACCGGCUAACUCCGUG